ACAUUGUUGGUUUGGUGGUGAAAUUCUCAUCUUCCAUGCAGGAGACCUGGGUUCAAUUCCCGGCCAAUGUA
rnacentral:tRNA from 1 species